rnacentral:tRNA from 1 species
GGUCUUUUAGUUUAUUAAAAUAUUGAAUUGCAAACUCAAAGAUAGCUUGUCUAAAGACUUC